GCCAGGCAUGGUGGCUCAUGCCUGUAAUCCCAGCACUUUGGGAGGCUGAGAUGGGUGAAUCUCCUGAGGUCAGGAGUUCGACACUAGCCUGGCCAACAUGGUGAAACCCCAUCUCUA
ensembl:misc_RNA Metazoa_SRP Metazoan signal recognition particle RNA